UGCAUAUCCAAAAAGCGGAGGAAAAGAAACCAACAGGGAUUGCCUCAGUAACGGCGAGUGAAGCGGCAACAGCUCAAAUUUGAAAUCUGGCCCUUUCAGGGUCCGAGUUGUAAUUUGUAGAGGAUGCUUCGGCGAGAGCUCCCGUCUAAGUUCCCUGGAACGGGACGUCAUAGAGGGUGAGAAUCCCGUAUGUGAUGGGUUGCUCGAGCCAUGUGAAGCUCCUUCGACGAGUCGAGUUGUUUGGGAAUGCAGCUCUAAAUGGGAGGUAAAUUUCUUCUAAAGCUAAAUACCGGCCAGAGACCGAUAGCGCACAAGUAGAGUGAUCGAAAGAUGAAAAGCACUUUGGAAAGAGAGUUAAAAAGUACGUGAAAUUGUUGAAAGGGAAGCGCUUGCAACCAGACUUGUCCGCAGUUGUUCAGCCGGUCUCCUGACCGGCGUACUCUUCUGCGGCCAGGCCAGCAUCAGUUCGGGCGGUUGGAUAAAGGCCUCGGGAAUGUGGCUCUCUUCGGGGAGUGUUAUAGCCCGGGGCGGAAUGCAGCCAGCCUGGACUGAGGAUCUCGCUUCGGCAAGGAUGCUGGCGUAAUGGUUGUAAGCGGCCCGUCUUGAAACACGGACCAAA
rnacentral:rRNA from 1 species